AAGAGAAAGACGACUCUUAAAGAAGCUGCUAACUAUCUUUACUAACAGUUAAACUCUGUUAUUCUCUUA
rnacentral:tRNA from 1 species